CUUAAACUGAAGAAGCUUCAACCAACCAGCUGGAAUCUAAUCCUCAGCUCUUCUAUUCCAUUUAAGGAACGCCAUGAAGCUGUUGUACGGCGCACAAUGGAAAGGAGCCAGAAGCCAAAACAGAAGCAUAACCGUUGGUCGUGGGGAGGCUCUCUCCAUGGGAGCCCUAGCAUCCACAGUGCAGCUCGCCGUCUGCAGCUCAGCCCAUGGGAGAGCAGCGUUGUUAACAGACUCCUGACGCCCACACAUUCGUUCCUGGCCAGAAGUAAAAGCACAGCUGCCUUGUCUGGAGAAGCAGUUAUCCCCAUUUGUCCUCGUUCAGCAUCUUGCAGCCCCAUCAUCAUACCCUACAAAGCUGCACACUCUAGAAAUUCGAUGGAUCGACCAAAACUCUUUGUAACACCACCUGAGGGCUCUUCUCGCAGGAGGACCAUUCAUGGCAUAGCGGUGAGUAGCUGUUGGGAGCAGCUGGGCAAGUCUGGGAGCCAGUGCUGUUCCUGUGCAGACUGGACACAACCCUGAGGCAUGGUGUGGGCCUAAGAGGGGGAGACCGCGACAUCCACCAUCCCAUCUCUCCCAUUGAUCAUGAAUCUGGCUGGCUGGGCAGCAGUGUCCCCUUACUUCCUCUUCACUUGGGGAUUUUGCUCUCCCUAAACAUUUGAAUUUGAAGACAAAAGCUGUUCUUUGUUCAAGCAUAUAUGAGUGGAUGCCCUACCCUGCUGGAGCAUCCAUACACAUAAGUGCAAUGCCAGAAUACUUUCAUUUUUGAAAGUAGGAAAACCAAAUGGCCUUUGAAGGGGAAGUGGGCUUGGACCGCUGCCUUGGCAUUUUAUUCCAACCAUAUCCAGAAGCUGGCUGAACUCUAAAUGUGAUUCACUCAAAAGCAAGAUAAAGAAUUUUUAUCCUGCUUGACUAAUCCCUGUCAAGG
rnacentral:lncRNA from 1 species